GACGAACGCUGGCGGCGUGCUUAACACAUGCAAGUCGAACGAUGAAGAAGAGCUUGCUCUUCGGAUUAGUGGCGAACGGGUGAGUAACACGUGACUAACCUGCCCCUUUCUCUGGGAUAACGCUCCGAAAGGAGUGCUAAUACCGGAUACUCACAUCGAGGCACAUGCCUUGAUGUGGAAAGUUUUUCGGAAAGGGAUGGAGUCGCGGCCUAUCAGCUUGUUGGUGAGGUAACGGCUCACCCAGGCGACGACGGGUAGCCGGCCUGUGAGGGCGACCGGCCACACUGGGACUGGGACACGGCCCAGACUGCUACGGGAGGCAGCAGUGGGGAAUAUUGCACAAUGGGCGAAAUGCUGAUGCAGCGACGCCGCGUGAGGGAUGAAGGUCUUCGGAUUGUAAACCUCUUUCAGUAGGGACGAAGCGAAAGUGACGGUACCUAAAGAAGAAGCACCGGCUAACUACGUGCCAGCCGCCGCGGUAA
rnacentral:rRNA from 1 species